CUUUUUAGUAUGUUUUUGUAUGUGAUUUUCUAGAAUUUUAUUGAGAAUUGUUGCAUCGAUGUUCAUCAGGGAUAUUGGUUAGAAGUUUUCUUUCCUUGAUGUGGACAAAGAGGGAACAGAAGUAGGUGGGAUGUGAUGUUUAUGAGGGAGAAAGAGAGAAGAUAGAGGUAAAAAUUUAUAGUGAGAGCAAAGGAGGAAUUAAUAGAGGUUGGCUGUUAUCAUGAGAGAAGUGAGAAAGAGAAUACAGGGAGACAGAUAAGUGAGGGAAAAAUAUAUACAGAUUUUUAAAAAAACUAUAAAGUCCCCAGUCUUCAGCUUUCCACAGGUGUGCCCACGACACCCAGCUGCAAUCUGAUGGACCUGGGCUUCAGAUUCCCUGGCUCUGCCUUCCUGCAGUCCCAAGAUCUCAAUGCCAUUCCAACUUGCAGAAAGACCACCAGGGAUGCACUCACUUAAAGGAGAGACCCUGCAAAGAGGCAGUAAGAUGGUGACCGCUAGCACACCCAGCAGAAAGACCUCAGGUGCAACCAGGCCUGCGGGUACCCUAACAAUAGAUCUCCAGGCCCUGGCCAGUGUCCCCAACUAAGAUGGCUAGGCUAUGAUAUGGUGGUGGCAAAUCUGUAGGCCCCUUGGCUCUGGACUCCCAGGCCCUGGUAGAUGUCCCAAAAUGGUGGUGGCUGCAUGUAACCAAACCUGCAGGUACCCUGACAAUGGACUUCCAGGCAGCAGUGAGCAGCGGGCCAUCUGUGGUCAUCAGGAGCGUAAUCCGCUGGUGAAUGGCAGGUGAUUGAGGUGGGCAAACAGGGCAAAGAGUGGGGAUCGGCAGGUAGCAACGGCUGCCUCACAGAGAAACAGUAUUUCCUCUGCUUGAAUCUCAAGUCACAGAGUGACAAGGUAUUUUUUUUAUACUUUCAUUUUAUUUAUUUAUUUUUAUGUAAUGCUGAAGAUUGAACCCAGUACCUCGUAUGUGCUAGGCAAGUGCUCUAGCCCUGAGCUACAACCCCAGCCCAAUGUUGAGCUUCUAUCACAUGUUUAUAUUAACCACUUGCAUAUCAUACCCUUGUGGAUAUUUAUGUGCUCAAGUUUUUGCCCCUUAAAGAAAUUGAGUUGUAUGCCUUGUUGGUUUGUGUUCUAAAAGUUCUUUGCAUAUUCUGAUUAGAAGUUCCUUAUAAGAUAUUUGAUGUGCAAGUUGUAUUGGUUUUGUACUGCUCUAAUAACAAAUCUAGCACUUCAAAUGCAGAGCCAUAUCAUCUUACAGUUCCAUAGGUAGAAGUCUGGUAGAGGUCUCACUGGACUAAAAUCCAGCUAUUGGCUGCCACACUCAGUUCUGGAAGUUCUGAGGAGGACUGCUUUCCUGAUCCUUUGAGUUGUUGGUGGAAUUCAGUUCCUUGCAUUAAAGGACCAAGUUCCUGAGGUUCUUGCUGUGUGUAAACUGGUGGGUUCCAGACUUCCAGAAGCCACUACAUCCUUGGUCCUUGGUCUCUUCUCUCAUAUGAAAGCUACAGCAUUGCCAGCAGGUCUGGACCCUCUCAUGGCAUAUCUCUGACUCUCCUUGGUUGUUGAAUUUCUCCCAUCAGAGUUGUGAUUAUAUUUGCCCACCCAGAUAACAGAGGGUGAUUUCCCCUUCUCAACACCUUUAACCUUAAUUCCACCUAGAAACUCCAUUUUCUAGGUAAGUUUACCUGUUUACAGUUUCUAGGGAUUGGGACAUGGACAUUUAGUGAAUGGCACUAUGUUCUCUACCACACUAAUACUUUCUCCCACACUGUGGCUUUUCAUGUCAUUUUCUUAAUGGUGUCCUUUGAAGUAGGAAAGUCUUUAAUUUUAUUUUGUUCAAUUUAUUGAUUAUAUUUAUUUUAUAAAAUAAAGUGUGCUUCUGGAGUUAUAUUUAAGAAUUUAGUACUUAACCCAACAUCAUAAAGAUACUACUCUGUUUCUUGCAGAAAUUGUUAUAAUUUUAGUUAUUCAAUGGAUUUAUGAUCUACUUUGAUUUAGUUAUAUGAAUGGUGCUAGGUAUGAUAUGAGUUUAAUUAAUUAAUCUUUUUUGCAUAUGGAUAAUCAGUGAUCCCAACCAUUUGUUCAAAAGACUCUCCUUUCCCCCAUUGAACUUUCUUUCUGUAUUGAAAAUCAAUUAGCCAUAAUUGGAUUUAUUGAUGAGCUGUCAAUUCUCUUCCAUUGAUAUGUAUGCCUACCCUUCCAUUAAUAUCACACUGUAUUCUUUUAUAGGUGUUUUUUAAAUAACUUUGUUUAUUUUUUUAAUAUGGUGCUGAGGAUCCAACCAAGUGCCUCACAAGGACUAGGCAAGGACUCUACCCCGGAGCCACAACCACAGCCCCUCUUUUACAGGUUCCAAUCUCAUUUAUUUCUUUGGAUCAACUCUAUAAUCCUGCAUAUUCUUGAACAAGCCAGUUCUGAACUUGCCCAACAUGGACAUCAUUUUCAGAGAAGCAUUAAUGGAGAUAUGGAAACAGCACCCUGGGUGCCUGACUCAGGAGACUCUUGUCUGUGCUGUCCAGGCCUUUGUGAAGUAUCCCUAAGAAGUGGGCAUCAAGGAGGAAAAGGAACUAUUUCAGUACCUUCGGGGAUCAGGGCAGGCUACAGCCCUGCAAUAUGCUUUCAUUGCUGAAAAGAAUAUGAAUAAGUGGUCCACUCCCUCUGAGGCCUCGUGGAAACCAGCAUCAGCAUGACCCCUCUCCUCAGUUGGUGUCUUGUUUUCGGUGGACACAACAUCUUUGUUUGUAUGUGGUGCUGAGGAUCGAAUCCAGG